CGGGAGCCCUGGAGGGACAAAACCAACAUCAGCACACACCUCCUGGCCAGUGAUCCCCCCUGUGGGGUUAAUGACCUUAACUGGCCAGCAGAGGCCAGAGGAACCCACAGGUUUGGCUGCAUUACACAGCAGAGCCUGCGUCUGAUUGGUCGACACUCACCUUCUCCGUGCCGACAGGUGAGGGAGCAGGUCAGCUUCACUCCGACUUCCUCCAUAUCAACCAAUUGGCUGCUGAGGCACAACCAGGGUGUCCUCAGGGUCCUACUGGGUGCCUCCACCUUAAGGUUUACCUUCAAACAACUAUGGACACAAAUAUGAGCCGUGUUGUACACAAAGCAGCAGAUGUGGGUCCUGCUGACGGGUUGAGGACCUUCCACGUCCAGCUCUCUCAGUAACUACCCGUCUCCUGGAGGAGCUGGACCCUCUGUGCCAAGUGGCCUCAUGCUCCCAGUAGUGAUGACGAAAGCCAACACGGGUGGAGAACCAGUCAAUGACAUCGAGAGGGAGAAACUUGAAUUGUCCUCCACGUGUCCAAUGGGGUCGUCUCAUUGUUGCCCCACUAGUGCAGCUGAAACGGAUUAAGAGCCCCCUCUGCUACUUACUGACCACAUCAAUAUCAGAGUAUUACAUCACAUGUACAAUGAGUGCAUUCAACCACGAGGACACAAACUCAGAACAGUAACAAUAGUUACGAGCCGUAAUAAGUACAAUGUAAGUGCUACAGUGUGUUUAGUGUUCACAGAUGAAUUCAUCCCCUGAUCAAAGAUGGAUGCUUUCAUCUCUUUGAGCAGUGGGUGUGAAUAUAGAGUCGGACGCUUUGAGCGUCGAUCCGCCUUUGAGGAACCGAGACGACGUCCAUCAUCUGGUGACGUUGGGACAUUUGAUGGACUUAGUUGAGCCACGUACGAGGAACAGGGCCCAGGUAACCGGAGGGAUUCACACCUGUCACUCAGGUGGACGACUUUGCAUCCAUACAAACAAUAACGUGCAGAAGAAUCUUUUUAUUUGCUUUGAUUUUUUAAUAUUUUUUUGUUCUAAGUUUGAUGUAAAAGUCACUCUGACUGCAGAUUUCACAAAGAUUGUCACGUGAUCAAUACUGUCAUGGAAUAACUAAUGUACUCACUUUGGAAAUUAAACAACAAAAACACUGUUAUCAUU